rnacentral:rRNA from 1 species
GAUGAACGCUAGCGGCAGGCUUAAUACAUGCAAGUCGAGGGGCAGCACAGCGUAGCAAUACAUGGGUGGCGACCGGCAUACGGGUGCGGAACACGUACGCAAUCUACCUUCAACUGGAACAUAGCCCCGGGAAACGGGGAUUAAUAUUCCAUAAUAUUAUAGGGCGGCAUCACCUUCUAAUUAAAGCACAGGCGGUUGAAGAUGGGCGUGCGCCCGAUUAGCUAGUUGGCGGGGUAACGGCCCACCAAGGCAACGAUCAGUAACUGGCGUGAGAGCGCGACCAGUCACACGGGCACUGAGACACGGGCCCGACUCCUACGGGAGGCAGCAGUAGGGAAUAUUGGUCAAUGGAGGCAACUCUGAACCAGCCAUGCCGCGUGAAGGAUGAAGGUCCUCUGGAUUGUAAACUUCUUUUAUAUGGGACGAAAAAAGGCUUUUCUAAGUCGUCUGACGGUACCAUUUGAAUAAGCACCGGCUAACUCCGUGCCAGCCGCCGCAGUAAUAC